ACGAACGCUGGCGGCAUGCCUAAUACAUGCAAGUCGAGCGGUGCAGCAAUGCAUAGCGGCGGACGGGUGAGUAACGCGUGGGCAACCCGCCUCAAAGGUUGGGAUAACACCCCGAAAGGGUGCUAAUACCGAGUGUGCUCUAGGUGCCGCAUGGCAUAUAGAGGAUAGGAGAAAUCCGUUUUGAGAUGGGCCCGCGUCUGAUUAGCUAGUUGGUAGGGUAACGGCCUACCAAGGCGACGAUCAGUAGCCG
rnacentral:rRNA from 1 species